GAUGGAGCUACAAGGAAGAGGACUACAGCUCCCAUCAGCUCACUCCCCAGUGCACAUCCCCUCCCCCAGGCCAGAUCAUCCAGGUUGGAAGGGAGAGGGCCUGGUUUGAUAGAAGAAACACAGGUCUGUCCAGAAAAAGUGGUUUUCACAGGAGAAAGGGGGUAGCUGAAGUGCUGCUGCUGCUGCUGCUGGCUGAGGAUUUGUAGCUGCAGGAAGAGCUGCUGCUGUUGGAGGAGUCUAGCAUAGGCUGAGUCCAUGGGCGGAGGAGACUUCUCUGCUUUCUGGUCAGGCGGAAUGUACUGGUGAUACUUCAGCUUCUUCACCUUUGGCUUGGUGUCCUUGGGCUUUUUGUGGCGAUUCUUGCUAUCGCUGGAUGAUUUUGACUGCGUGUCAUACAGAGAAAAGAACAGGGGUUAUGAAAGAAAUCAGGUCCGGAGCUGGAGUUGGCUAAGCGAUGACAUUCACAUUUAUGAAUUUAGAGACCCAGAACCAGAGGAUGAGCAUAUCCAUAUU